rnacentral:lncRNA from 1 species
AUCACGCUUUCUAAAUUAGAACGGGAAACAGGGAACCAUUCAGAAAAUACAGAAGAAAAAGAGCCAAACCGCCAUAAAAAGCCCACACAGACGGUGGCGUUGGUUGAAUUAGAAAGCUGCCACCCAGGAAACCAGGGAAGGGACUGCUUUAGGAGGUGACUGCUCAGAACAUAUCUGCCUUGAUUGAUAGGAAACCCUUCUUACUUUACAUUAUAAGAGAUCUUUUUGCCGCCCAUUAUUUAGGAUUAAAAAUUACCUCCUUAGGAGGGUCUCUUAUAAAAAACGAAGGCAGGCAAGAAACAGAGGACACUCAAUUCAUCAGCCAAAAC